rnacentral:rRNA from 1 species
AUUGAACGCUGGCGGCAGGCCUAACACAUGCAAGUCGAGCGGUUGAAGGGAUCUUGCUCCUGUAUUCAGCGGCGGACGGGUGAGUAAUGCCUAGGAAUCUGCCUGGUAGUGGGGGUUAACUUCCGGACACGGGCGCUAAUUCCGCAUACGUCCUGAGGGUGAAAGUGUGGGAUCUUCGGACCUCGCGCUAUCAGAUGACCCUAGGUCGGAUUAGCUCGUUGGUGGGGGAAAGGCCUACCAAGGCGACGGUCCGUAACUGUUCUGAGAGGAUGAUCAGUCACACUGGAAGUGAGACACGGUCCAGAAUCCUACGGGAGGCAGCAGUGGGGAAUAUUGGACAAUGGGCGAAGGACUGAUCAAGCCAUGCCGCGUGGGGGAAGAAGGUCUUCGGAUUGUAGAGCACUUUAAGUUGGGAGGAAGGGCAGUAAGUUAAUACCUUGCUGUUUUGACGUUACCAACAGAAUAAGCACCGGCUAACUUCGUG